AGGACGAACGCUGGCGGCGUGCCUAACACAUGCAAGUUGAGCGACGAACCAGGGCUUGCCCUGGGGCAAAGCAGCGAACGGGUGAGUAACACGUGGGUAACGUGCCCCCGAUAACCGGGACAACCCGAGGAAACUCGGGCUAAUACCGGAUGUGCCCAUCAGACAUCAGUCUGAUGUGUAAAGGAGCUUCGGCCUCCGUAUCGGGAGCGGCCCGCGGCCCAUUAGCUAGUUGGUGAGGUAACGGCUCACCAAGGCAACGAUGGGUAGCUGGUCUGAGAGGACGAUCAGCCACACUGGGACUGAGACACGGCCCAGACCUCCGUACGGGAGCAGCAGUGGGAAUCUGCGCAAUGCGCGAAAGCGUGACGCAGCGAACGCCGGCGGUGGGGGAACGAAGGUCCGUUCGGUUACGUAACCCCGUUUGAACGGAGGACGAAGGUGCGA
rnacentral:rRNA from 1 species